rnacentral:rRNA from 1 species
UACGGAGGGUGCAAGCGUUGUCCGGAUUUAUUGGGUUUAAAGGGUGCGUAGGCGGUCUUUUAAGUCAGUGGUGAAAGCCAACAGCUCAACUGUUGAACUGCCAUUGAUACUGGGAGACUUGAGUACAGACGAGGUAGGCGGAAUUGACGGUGUAGCGGUGAAAUGCGUAGAGAUGUGGAGGAACACCAGUGGCGAAGGCGGCUUCUGGUCUGUAACUGACGCUGAGGCGCGAAAGCGUGGGGAGCAAACAGG